rnacentral:rRNA from 1 species
CAGCCGCCGCGGUAAUACGUAGGGUGCGAGCGUUAAUCGGAAUUACUGGGCGUAAAGCGUGCGCAGGCGGUUGUGUAAGACAGGUGUGAAAUCCCCGGGCUUAACCUGGGAACUGCGCUUGUGACUGCACAGCUAGAGUAUGGCAGAGGGGGGUGGAAUUCCACGUGUAGCAGUGAAAUGCGUAGAGAUGUGGAGGAACACCGAUGGCGAAGGCAGCCCCCUGGGCCAAUACUGACGCUCAUGCACGAAAGCGUGGGAAGCAAACAGGAUUAGAUACCCCUGUAGUCCAUGUCUCUUAUAC